rnacentral:lncRNA from 10 species
UUUUUUUCUCUUUCCACUUCACUUCAUAUUUUGUUUUCUGUUCAAUCCAAGUUGUUUUCUCCUAUGAAAUCCAAGUAAAACUAUAUUGAAUAUUGUCUGAUGGCAAAGGAGCCUUAACAUGUGACGAUGUUGCACCCAUGGGGUUAGAGAAAUGUAGGUGAAUAUGAAAUGCUGUUGACCCCCCCUUCUGCAUUUAUUUCAUUGUUUUCCUAUCU